rnacentral:rRNA from 1 species
AGAGUUCGAUUAUGGCUCAGGAUGAACGCUGGCGGCGUGCUUAACACAUGCAAGUCGAACGAAGCACUCUAUUUGAUUUUCUUCGGAAAUGAAGAUUUUGUGACUGAGUGGCGGACGGGUGAGUAACGCGUGGGUAACCUGCCUCAUACAGGGGGAUAACAGUUGGAAACGACUGCUAAUACCGCAUAAGCGCACAGGAUCGCAUGGUCCGGUGUGAAAAACUCCGGUGGUAUGGGAUGGACCCGCGUCUGAUUAGCCAGUUGGCAGGGUAACGGCCUACCAAAGCGACGAUCAGUAGCCGACCUGAGAGGGUGACCGGCCACAUUGGGACUGAGACACGGCCCAA